rnacentral:rRNA from 1 species
GACGAACGCUGGCGGCGUGCUUAACACAUGCAAGUCGAACGGAAAGGCCCUGCUUGCAGGGUACUCGAGUGGCGAACGGGUGAGUAACACGUGGGUGAUCUGCCCUGCACUUCGGGAUAAGCCUGGGAAACUGGGUCUAAUACCGGAUAGGAGCCACUUUUAGUGGGAUGGUUGGAAAGUUUUUUCGGUGUAGGAUGAGCUCGCGGCCUAUCAGCUUGUUGGUGGGGUAAUGGCCUACCAAGGCGGCGACGGGUAGCCGGCCUGAGAGGGUGGACGGCCACAUUGGGACUGAGAUACGGCCCAGACUCCUACGGGAGGCAGCAGUGGGGAAUAUUGCACAAUGGGCGCAAGCCUGAUGCAGCGACGCCGCGUGGGGGAUGACGGCCUUCGGGUUGUAAACUCCUUUCGCUAGGGACGAAGCUUUUUGUGACGGUACCUAGAUAAGAAGCACCGGCUAACUACGUG